GACGAACGCUGGCGGCGUGCUUAACACAUGCAAGUCGAACGCUGAAGCUCAGCUUUUGUUGGGUGGAUGAGUGGCGAACGGGUGAGUAACACGUGAGUAACCUGCCCCCUUCUUUGGGAUAACGCCCGGAAACGGGUGCUAAUACUGGAUAUUCACUGGUCUUCGCAUGGGGGUUGGUGGAAAGGGUUUUUCUGGUGGGGGAUGGGCUCGCGGCCUAUCAGCUUGUUGGUGGGGUGAUGGCCUACCAAGGCUUUGACGGGUAGCCGGCCUGAGAGGGUGACCGGUCACAUUGGGACUGAGAUACGGCCCAGGCUCCUACGGGAGGCAGCAGUGGGGAAUAUUGCACAAUGGGCGCAAGCCUGAUGCCGCGACGCCGCGUGAGGGAUGGAGGCCUUCGGGUUGUGAACCUCUUUCGCUCAUGGUCAAGCCGCAACAAUGGUUGUGGUGAGGGUAGUGGGUAAAGAAGCGCCGGCUAACUACGUG
rnacentral:rRNA from 1 species